rnacentral:rRNA from 1 species
UACGGGAGGCAGCAGUGGGGAAUAUUGCACAAUGGGCGAAAGCGUGAUGCAGCAACGCCGCGUGGGGGAUGAAGGCCUUCGGGUUGUAAACCCCUUUUAGCAGGGAAGAGGCGAAAAUGACGGUACCGUCAGAAGAAGAGCUGUCCAACUACGUGCCAGCAGCCGCGGUAAUACGUAGGGCGCAAGCGUUGUCCGGAAUUAUUGG